rnacentral:rRNA from 1 species
UUCUACAGCCAUACUACUCUGAACACACCAAAUCUUCUCUGACCUCAGGAGCUAAGCAGGGUCAGGCCUGGUUAGUACUUGGAUGGCAGAAACUAAGGGACAGGAAA